AUGAUGCCCCCUAUAGGGGGCCUCACAGAGAUUAGCUGCUCGUAGCCGUUGGAUCUUCCCGUCUGGCAAUCUUGUCCGUCCAUUUUUCACUGGUGGAGUAGUCCAGGACGCGAGGCCCUCGCGCGACCCGCUUUUUAUCCACGGGUCGAUGAAGCCCAUCCGGCCCGGUGUUGGCGCGUCGUCCUCUCUGCUCGCGCCCCUCGCUCGCUAAAUCCCGCCGCCACCCGAGCUCCGCCUCCUCCUCUGCCCCAUCGCCGCCGCACCCCGCCUCCUCCUCUGCCCCAGCGCACCGACGGAGAGGCAGCAGCGGUGACGACCGCCGCGUCCCUCCAUACCGGGACCCUCCUUCCCGGCGUCCUCCACAAGCUCGGUCCUGGGUUCGAGCUUCACCUCGAACAGAGGAGUGGAAGCAGAUGGGGAGAAGGGGAAAACAGAGAGGAGCCCACCACGAAAACGAGGAGGGGCUCGGGAAGGACGGAGAGGUAGCAGCCGCGACGAAUUCGUCAGCGAUGUGCGACGGCUAGAGGAGGAAGACGAGGUCUGUGUCCACGAUUUGGAUCCCUUCGCGCCGCCGGCCGGCAGGAGCAACGCACUGUCGCCGUACGCCAUGCCGCCUGUGAGAGAAGGGGCUGGUGGAGCUCCACCUAUUAUUCACGUUCCCGCUGACUCGAGCCGGCCUUAUGAGCUUCCGCGCCAGUCUGCUGCUCAGCCUCUUCAUCCUCCGCUGCAUUCAAUGGAGGAGCACAUGUUGAUGAGCCAGGAUCGUUGUGGGGCUCUGCUUUUGCUCGAGAAGAUUGUUGACCUGAAGAUGUACAUUCCUCUUAGUGUUGAAGUUUGUGACAUGUUAGCUGCAGUAGUCUUUUGCUAACAAUGGAAGGAUCUUACUACUUCCAAUGGCAACCAAAUUUUUUGCAGCUUACAGAAAUUAUUAAUAGGGGAUGAAUGGUUAAUAAAUGAAAGUUUCAAUAUUUUCUUAAUGGCUCUGUGUCGGCUCCGUACCAUCAUAUCAGCCCGAGCUCCAUCCUACCACCUUCGAGCUCACUAUCGGUUUGCAGUUAAGUGUCUUCUUAUCUCAGCCCAAUUAACAUAAGCUUUUAAACAUUGUUGACCUAGACAGAAGAAGGAAGCGUUACUUUUGGUAGUAGAGCAGCACUCGCGCCGCCUCCGCGUGCCGUGCCGUCGCCGGGAGAAGACGCUUGUGGAGCUCCUCGUUCUGCACGUCUUUGAUGUGCCACUGGAGGCCGGCGGCAUCAGCGCAGCCUGCCGCUCGGGCCAGCACUACGUAACGUGCCGCCGUCGAGAGGAGCGUCCGGUAGGGCUCCGCAUGUGCUAGACUUUUGGCCUCCUCUUCCUCUUCAUGGUCACUGGACCACUAG